AUACGUAGGUGGCAAGCGUUGUCCGGAAUUAUUGGGCGUAAAGCGCAUGUAGGCGGUUUGGUAAGUCGGUCGUGAAAAUGCGGUGCUUGACGCCGUAUGGCGAUUGAAACUGCUGAACUUGAGUGCAGGAGAGGAAAGGGGAACUCCCAGUGUAGCGGUGAAAUGCGUAGAUAUUGGGAAGAACACCGGUGGCGAAGGCGCCUUUCUGGACUGUGUCUGACGCUCAGAUGCGAAAGCCAGGGUAGCGAACGGGAUUAGAUACCCCGGUAGUCCUGGCCGUAAACGAUGGGUACUAGGUGUGGGAGGUAUCGACUCCUUCCGUGCCGGAGUUAACGCAAUAAGUACCCCGCCUGGGGAGUACGGCCGCAAGGCUUAAACUCAAAGGAAUUGACGGGG
rnacentral:rRNA from 1 species